UCUUUUAAAAAAUUCGAUCAACCGUUCUCCGUACCGGGGCUUUUAUCUGUCUAUCUGUCUGUCUGUCUGUCUGCCAGGCUGGCUUUCCCCCACCACCACCUCUUUCCCACGGAGCCCGAGUCGGGCGCCGGGUGGGGAGUGGGGAGUGGGUGGGGGGAGCCAGCAGAGUUCCAUUUUGGAACGCCCGUGCCUCGUCUCCGCGUUCCCAGCCCGGGUCCCCGCGUUCGCAGCCCCGGCGCAGGUCUCCAUGCACUGGCUGCUCUGGGAAUCCGGCUGCAAGAUCCCCAGGAUGUAAGACAGCAGACACUGGUAAACGGCCACGGCUACCACAGAAGCCAGGAAUGUCCACUGACAGCAUGGGACUGAAGCAGGGAAGAGCCUCUGGUGCGGAGGAAGGAGCCUGCAGCAGCAGACAUGAGCUGUAUCCGAGGGAGGGAGCGUGGUCUGGCUCCACCGUUGAAGAAGUAGAUUCUUGGCAGCAGCAGAAAGCUUGUCUUAAACAAAUAUAACCUGUUUAUUUAGACUGUAUAUAGGAUUUUUAUUAAAAUAAAUAGAUUGGGAGAAG
rnacentral:lncRNA from 1 species